AAUAAGCGGAGGAAAAGAAACCAACCGGGAUUGCCUCAGUAACGGCGAGUGAAGCGGCAAGAGCUCAAAUUUGGAAUCUGGCCCCCUUUGGGGUCUGAGUUGUAAUUUGCAGAGGAUGUUUCGGGGGCGGCGCCGGUCUAAGUCUCUUGGAACAGGGCGUCACAGAGGGUGAGAAUCCCGUAUGGGAUCGAGGGCCAACCCCCAGGUGAAACUCCUUCGACGAGUCGAGUUGUUUGGGAAUGCAGCUCAAAAUGGGUGGUAAAUUUCAUCUAAAGCUAAAUACCGGCCAGAGACCGAUAGCGCACAAGUAGAGUGAUCGAAAGAUGAAAAGCACUUUGGAAAGAGAGUUAAAAAGUACGUGAAAUUGUUGAAAGGGAAGCGCUUGCAGCCAGACCUGUCCGCGGGCGCUCAGCGGUCGUUCUCGGCCGUGCACUCGCCCGCGAUCAGGCCAGCAUCGGUUCCGGCGGCUGGAUAAAGGCCCAGGGAAGGUAGCUCCCCUCGGGGAGUGUUAUAGCCUCGGGUGCCAUGCGGCCCGCCCGGACCGAGGUCCGCGCUUCGGCUAGGAUGCUGGCGUAAUGGUGGUAAUCGACC
rnacentral:rRNA from 1 species